CUGACCCCUACUACAAGUAUGCUGGACUUGCUGUUGCCGAUCUGUUUUUGAAGCAACUUGAUUUUCGCCAUUUUGGUACUGAUAGCAGCAAUGAGCCUCAUGUGA